GAGACCGGGAGAAGUUAGAGGUACUCCUGGGGCAGAGGUGAAAUUCUGUANUCCUAGGGGGACCACCAGUGGCGAAAGCGUCUAACUAGAACGGGUCUGACGGUGAGGGACGAAGCCCUGGGGCGCGAACCGGAUUAGAUACCCGGGUAGUCCAGGGUGUAAACGCUGCUUGCUUGAUGUUAGUCGGGCUCCGAGCCCGAUUAGUGUCGGAGAGAAGUUGUUAAGCAAGCUGCCUGGGAAGUACGGCCGCAAGGNNGAAACUUAAAGGAAUUGGCGGGGGAGCACAGCAACGGGUGGAGCGUGCGGUUUAAUUGGAUUCAACGCCGGAAAGCUCACCGGAGGCGACGGUUACAUGAAGGCCAGGCUGAUGACCUUGCCUGGUUUUCCGAGAAGUGGUGCAUGGCCGCCGUCAGUUCGUACCGUAAGGCGUUCUGUUAAGUCAGACAACGAACGAGACCCUCAUCUUUAAUUGCUACCUGUAAGUCCGCUUAUAGGGCACAUUAAAGAAACCGCUGGCGAUAAGUCAGAGGAAGGCGAGGGCAACGGUAGGUCAGUAUGCCCUGAAUCCUCCGGGCUACACGCGCGCUACAAAGGAUAGGACAAUGGGCUUCGACACCGAAAGGUGAAGGUAAUCCCGAAACCUAUUCGUAGUUCGAAUCGAGGGUUGAAACUCACCCUCGUGAAGCUGGAAUCCGUAGUAAUCGCGGAUCAACAUCCCGCGGUGAAUAUGCCCCUGCUCCUUGCACACACCGCCCGUCAAACCAUGCGAGUUGGGUUUGAGUGAGGAUGCAGUUUUUGCUGCUUUCAAACUCAGGCUUAGCAAGCGGGGUUAAGU
rnacentral:rRNA from 1 species